rnacentral:rRNA from 1 species
CAGCCGCCGCGGGAAUACGUAGGUCCCGAGCGUUGUCCGGAUUUAUUGGGCGUAAAGGGAGCGCAGGCGGUUUAGUAAGUCUGAAGUUAAAGGCAUUGGCUCAACCAAUGUAUGCUUUGGAAACUGUUAGACUUGAGUGCAGAAGGGGAGAGUGGAAUUCCAUGUGUAGCGGUGAAAUGCGUAGAUAUAUGGAGGAACACCGGUGACGAAAGCGGCUCUCUGGUCUGUCACUGACGCUGAGGCUCGAAAGCGUGGGUAGCGAACAGGAUUAGAUACCCCCGUAGUCCCUGUCUCUUAUACA